rnacentral:tRNA from 1 species
GAGGAUUUAGCUUAAUUAAAGCGGUUGAUUUGCAUUCAAUUGAUGUAAGAUAUGGUCUUGCAAUCCUUA